AUCAGCCAAAAAACCUCAUUAUGCAUUGCUACUCACAAAUGACCACUUCAAAGAACAUGCAAGUAUCUAUGUCAUUAACAAUUGCAAACAUAAGUUUCUUUUUACUACAGUUGUUGUAUGUAGUAUCACACAGUUCCUCAUUCUAUUCUCACUCAAUAAUAAGAAAAAUGAAAAGAAAAGAUAGAGACAAUGUGCCGCAAUUGCACUUCGGUGUCAUGGAUUCAGUCUGCCGCUUCUACAUCUCAUUAUCCUGUAGCACUCUUUCGCUAUCUUCUACCUCUGAAUAAAAACAGACCUUACUUGUUAGAGAAGCAAAUGUGAAACCUUAUUACAACAUGUAUGCUAAGUCGCUAACCCAUAGAGACAGCUAGAACAAAUGCGAAAACUUUCCAUGUUGCCGAGUAAGUAUAUGAGCACCCCUCAAAAGAUCAAUUAGCAAGUACUAGCUGCCAACCCGUGCAUCUGCACAGGCUAGCCUAUUUUAGUAGUUGUAUAUAAGCUGACCUUCUUUUAAAUUGGUUGGAAGAAUAAAUUAUAAUACUAAUCUGAAUACUUUUUUGGAAAUAAUAACAUGAAACCAUGCAUAUUGGUUACCGUGUGCCGGAAAUGAUACAUUCGUUUUCAAUUAAUUCCUGAUUGGAUAAUUAACAUAUAUUAUGUAUGGUUUAAAUUAUGUGACACAAAUAGUCUAUUAAGUUGUUAUAUAUUUUGGGAGUGGUUGGUAUAUCUGUACUCGCACUAUAUAUCAAAGAAAAAAAAGAUAGUAUACAUGAUAACAUGGCCAUAUCACCAAUAUUUGUAUCUCUAAUAACUGAAUCUCAUAGAGCCCUGAAUUAUUAUGUAACAUACCUUACUCUAAUGAGGGUAAAUAUAUAUUCUACCAAAAAAAACUACCUUCUCCAUUCAUAAAAUUGCGAGUCAAAUUCUUGUAUACUUGGCAAGUCCACUACCUAAAACCAUGUAUGUUGCAUUUAGUAGUGCCCAGUUGAUUCCUAUACAAAAUCAAAGAUAGUAAUAAAAAUAACGUGCAAAGUGGAGUAUGAUUUAGUGUAUCAUUCCAUAAAUGAUUCAGUGUAUUGUUAGGAGCAUUUAACUAUGAUUGUAUAUCGAACCAUUGAUGCAAAUUUAAGCAACACCAAAAGUCGUAUCAGUGUGACUUCGACAAACUCUAAAAUCCUCCAUGUGAUAUAUGAUGCAUCUUGAACAGAGAUACGAACUAUCCCGACUAAGUUUGAGGUAUACAGUAGGAAGUAUCUAAUAUAUAUUUUGGACACAAAAAAAUGUUAUUUAUGUUUAACGUAAAAAGAAGAUGCUAGCAACUAUGAUAUAUUUUCCCUGCAAAAAAAACAACAGCGACAUAUAUAUUAUUCCUCUGAAUUUUUCUGCCGAAACAUGGAGCGAACUAUAUCUUUUAAAUGAAAGAACUAUUCAUAUCCAUAACUGGUUUGGCAUAAUGCAUCAAGUCAUCUGCCGUCUCAUUUUACCUAUGACACCUUCCAUCCAAGUUUCAUAAACGCGUGCUUCUUCUAUAAGUUUAAGCUAUUUGUGAAGUAAAUAAUGAGGACAUCUAUUGGAGUUCACGGAGCUUACCAAACAAUCUGCAGUGCUGAUUUUUUCAGACAUGACUCGGGGGCGCCAAGAGCCCAAUAUCCCUUCCUAGAUCGGAUUUGGUCUUACAUUAGUAUCGGUAGUGUGAGCUUCCAUCUUGCCUUAUCCAUGUGUACGCAGCCAGAGGUAAUUAAGCAUAUAUAUGCACGUGUGUAUCAUCUCUUUUGACUUAGACUGAUCCUCAGGUACAUGCAUCCAAAGAACAAAGCACUGAUAUGUGCCACUGAUGGGUACAUCGGUAGCAAGCUGUAUGUGCACCAUGGGUCGCCCAUUCUCCAUUGAUACGAUAUGCCAAUGUAUGAGAAAAAGUGCUUCUAGGUCCUGAUGCAAAAUUAUGAACUCAUGAUUAUUAUCCAAAACCAUAAUUUAAACCCUACUUAGCAUGAAAACAGAUGUAUCAGAUAGAUUGAAAUGCUUCUCUGCUUCUUAUUACUCUGUUGCAGUGGAAAUUUGUCAGAUGUGCACCCAAUUCUUGCACAAAAUAUACUGAAGAAUUGCCAACGAAAUAACUAUACAGAAUUUAGGAACUGUUACGACAUUUUUCUGGUCAAAAUAAAUAUAAAUAUGGAUGUUGCAGUGGAAUUUAGGAGCAGUCUUUGUUGACAGUGGUGCAGGGUGUGAUGUUGGACAGACUGAAAAAGCUAUUGCCGUGCCAGGUAGAAGAGUGUUGGUACAUACCUUGAAGUGGACCCUUCUCUUGACCUCCUUGUUCGGCGCGUGGCACACUGACUGAAACAAUAACAAGACCAGGCACACAUGAUCAAAACACCUACAUGAUGCUUACUGCUGAUUGAUUGCAGUUUGCAAAUCUUCUACUGAUCUACAAGUAUAUUUCCCCCAAACUGGCUGUUCUCCCCCACUAUAUAAUGUGCUGUAUUGUUCUUGAGUUCACAUGUGCUUUCUUCUAUUCCAUCAGACCAGAUAUGCUUUUCUAUCUACAGCAGAAAAAACAUGGUAUAAUUUAAUUAAGUAAUCAUGAUGAACUACACUGAACUGAACAAAAGUCAUGGGGAAAUUUAGAAACAAGGCGUGUGCUCAAAUUAUCUACGAAAAACUGAAUACAGAUUCAAAUUGCACAAACGAAAUGAAAUGCUAUCAACCUGUGAUGUUGCUGAACUGAUGGGCAUAUCUGAGUAUGACUCGAGCUGUAAAACCUUCUGUUGAGCUGGGCCGAGGAGCUCGGGCGUCCCUCGUCUCGCCGCCGCUGCCGUCUCCUCUGCCACGUGAUGCCCCCGCCCGACAGCCGCCGCCUCCUCUGCCACGCGAUGCCCCCGCCCGACAGCCGCCGUCUCCUCUGCCACGUGAUGCCUCAUUGACUCGCUGCGCCUCCGCCUCUGCUCCCC
rnacentral:lncRNA from 1 species